rnacentral:rRNA from 1 species
UCGUUGUAGCAAUACGAUGGAAAGUCUAGUGGCGAACGGGUGCUUAACACGUGGGCAACCUGCCAAGAAGUGGGGGACAGCUCGCCGAAAGGCGGAUUAAUACCGCAUGUGAUUAGAGAGGACAUCCUUUCGAAAUUAAAGUCGGGGCAACCUGACGCUUCUUGUGGGGCCCGCGGCCUAUCAGCUAGUUGGUGGGGUAACGGCUCACCAAGGCUUUGACGGGUAGCUGGUCUGAGAGGACGACCAGCCACACUGGGACUGAGACACGGCCCAGACACCUACGGGUGGCAGCAGUCGAGAAUUUUUGACAAUGGGAGAAACCCUGAUCGAGCGACGCCGCGUGGAGGAUGAAGGUCUUCGGAUUGUAAACUCCUGUCAUUGGGGAACAAUGCACAGAUAUUAACUGUAUUUGUGUUGAUAGUACCCGAAGAGGAAGAGACGGCUAACUCUGUGCCAGCAGCCGCGGUAAUACAGAGGUCUCAAGCGUUGUUCGGAUUCAUUGGGCGUAAAGGGUGCGUAGGCGGCGCGGUAAGUCGGGUGUGAAAUCUCGGAGCUUAACUCCGAAACUGCAUUCGAUACUGCCGUGCUUGAGGACUGGAGAGGAGACUGGAAUUCUCGGUGUAGCA